CACGUAGGGUGCGAGCGUUGUCCGGAAUUAUUGGGCGUAAAGAGCUCGUAGGCGGUGUGUCGCGUCGGCCGUGAAAACCUGCAGCUUAACUGUGGGCUUGCGGUCGAUACGGGCAUCACUGGAGUUCGGCAGGGGAGACUGGAAUUCCUGGUGUAGCGGUGAAAUGCGCAGAUAUCAGGAGGAAUACCGAUGGCGAAGGCAGGUCUCUGGGCUGACACUGACGCUCAUGCACGAAAGCGUGGGGGAGCAAACAGG
rnacentral:rRNA from 1 species